rnacentral:rRNA from 1 species
GACGGGGCCCGCACAAGCGGCGGAGCAUGCUACUUAAUUCGAUGCAACGCGAAGAACCUUACCAAGGCUUGACAUGCGCGGUAAUCCGGUAGAAUGCCGGGUCUUUUGGGAUCGCGUGCAGGUGGUGCAUGGUUGUCGUCAGCUCGUGUCGUGAGAUGUUGGGUUAAGUCCCGCAACGAGCGCAACCCCUAUUGUUAGUUGCCAUCAUUCAGUUUGGGCACUCUAGCGAGACUGCCGGUAAUAAACCGGAGGAAGGUGGGGAUGACGUCAAAUCAUCAUGCCCCUUAUGACCUGGGCUACACACGUGCUACAAUGGUUGGUACAACGAGUUGCGAGUCGGUGACGGCGAGCUAAUCUCUUAAAGCCAAUCUCAGUUCGGAUUGUAGGCUGCAACUCGCCUACAUGAAGUCGGAAUCGCUAGUAAUCGCGGAUCAGCACGCCGCGGUGAAUACGUUCCCGGGCCUU